GACGAACGCUGGCGGCGUGCUUAACACAUGCAAGUCGAACGGUGAACCAGAGCUUGCUCUGGGGAUCAGUGGCGAACGGGUGAGUAACACGUGGGCAACCUGCCCCAGACUCUGGGAUAACCUCGGGAAACCGAUGCUAAUACCGGAUACGACCACUUCGGACAUCCGACGGUGGUGGAAAGUUUUUUCGGUCUGGGAUGGGGCCCGCGGCCUAUCAGCUAGUUGGUGGGGUAAUGGCCUACCAAGGCGACGACGGGUAGCCGGUCUGAGAGGAUGGCCGGCCACACUGGAACUGAGACACGGUCCAGACUCCUACGGGAGGCAGCAGUGGGGAAUCUUGGGCAAUGGGGGGGACCCUGACCCAGCGACGCCGCGUGAGGGACGAAGGUUUUCGGAUCGUAAACCUCUGUUGUACGGGAAGAAGGAUGUGACGGUACCGUACGAGUAAGCCCGGCAAACUACGUG
rnacentral:rRNA from 1 species